rnacentral:rRNA from 1 species
AUACGGAGGGUGCGAGCGUUAAUCGGAAUUACUGGGCGUAAAGGGUGCGUAGGCGGCUUGAUAAGUCGGAUGUGAAAGCCCCGGGCUUAACCUGGGAAUUGCAUUCGAUACUGUCAGGCUAGAGUAUGUCAGAGGUUGGCGGAAUUCCUGGUGUGGCGGUGAAAUGCGUAGAUAUCAGGGGGAACACCAGUGGCGAAGGCGGCUAACUGGGACAAUACUGACGCUGAGGCACGAAAGCGUGGGGAGCAAACAGGAUUAGAAACCCUAGUAGUCC